rnacentral:rRNA from 1 species
GAAGGGCGUGCUAAUCUGCGAUAAGCGCCGGUAAGGUGAUAUGAACCGUUAUAACCGGCGAUACCCGAAUGGGGAAACCCAGUGUGAUUCGUCACACUAUCAUUAACUGAAUCCAUAGGUUAAUGAGGCGAACCGGGGGAACUGAAACAUCUAAGUACCCCGAGGAAAAGAAAUCAACCGAGAUUCCCCCAGUAGCGGCGAGCGAACGGGGAGGAGCCCAGAGCCUGAAUCAGCAUGUGUGUUAGUGGAAGCGUCUGGAAAGGCGCGCGAUACAGGGUGACAGCCCCGUACACAAAAGCGCAUGUGCUGUGAGCUCGAUGAGUAGGGCGGGACACGUGGUAUCCUGUCUGAAUAUGGGGGGACCAUCCUCCAAGGCUAAAUACUCCUGACUGACCGAUAGUGAACCAGUACCGUGAGGGAAAGGCGAAAAGAACCCCGGCGAGGGGAGUGAAAAAGAACCUGAAACCGUGUACGUACAAGCAGUGGGAGCACCCUUUUGGGUGUGACUGCGUACCUUUUGUAUAAUGGGUCAGCGACUUAUAUUCUGUAGCAAGGUUAACCG